rnacentral:rRNA from 1 species
UACGUAGGUGGCAAGCGUUGUCCGGAUUUAUUGGGCGUAAAGCGCGCGCAGGCGGUCCUUUAAGUCUGAUGUGAAAUCUUGCGGCUCAACCGCAAGCGGUCAUUGGAAACUGGGGGACUUGAGUACAGAAGAGGAAAGUGGAAUUCCACGUGUAGCGGUGAAAUGCGUAGAGAUGUGGAGGAACACCAGUGGCGAAGGCGGCUCACUGGCCCGGUACUGACGCUGAGGCGCGAAAGCGUGGGGAGCAAACAGG